CACAACUAUACACCACAAAACUUAACUACUGGUACAAAGGACGUUUUUAAUAUCUCUCAUCGAGUAUGUUGUUCCAGAAUUGGACUCUGCACAUGAACGUGCUCAUCAAAGACGAAUUGUAAACAACUGCUGAAUGGAAGUCGUGAACUCAUUAUUGAUUAGCGAAAAAGAAAGGAAAGAAGCUCAUCAAGAAUGUGUUAUGAAGACAUACAAUACUCUGAAGUAUGCUGAACGUGCAAAGAGUGUUAAGUCAAAAGUAGCAACACAUGACUACGAAAAGAUAAAAGAUAAAUACAAGAUAAUUUUUAUAAAUUCUUAUACUUUGUUGCAUGAACAUCAACAACUUGGUUGUGUGCACUUGGGGUGGCUGGGAAUUUGUGGAGUGAUGGUGAUGCCACUCAAUCUCUGUGUGUCACAUUUGAAAAUUAUUUGAGGAAUAAAACAAGGUUUAUGAGACUUCUUACUAAAUGAGUACUAAAAGUUGCUGUGAAACUACUUUGUAAUCACAUUGCAUCCAUUAUGAUUUGUUGACGAGUUUUUUAAUUAAUUCUGUGUGUUUUGUUAUUUUUGUCGUUUGCUAAUACCGUAAACGUUGAUCUCCAUGUUACCAAAUACCGAAGCAUCAUUGAAGGUCUCCAGGCUGAGGUGCAGUCAAAUGAGUCUUCACCAACACGAGAUUUAACAUCAACUUUGUGUAUUUGUGAUAUUGUCAUGUAACAGAACAAAGAGUUAAAGAUAAAGCUGCAGCAGCAAUUGCAAACGGUUCCUGCAGGUGUGCCAUGUGUGGCUGAUAUUAACGAAAAAAUUCUGCAAUUAACAAAUCAUUUCUUCAAAGGAUUGAAACUGAGUUUUGUUCACUUAAGUCUAUUACUUCUGUUUGUUUUGAUCUUACUGACAUUGAACCAGCACAAAGAGAUGUGAUUGCAAAGGGACAGAGAAAGGAGAGGAAUAUACAAAGAAUGAAGGCGAAUGGAAAGGAGAAUGCUCAGGUAAAAUGAAGAGCUUGCAGGACAUGGUCGCAGACACAAAUCGAUAAUAAGGAACUGCCGUUAUAUGGUCACACCCAACCAGAUGGCUGGGUUCCUGUGUAGAGACUUGGAUCAGAUCUCGGACAUCGUCUUAUCUCGGACAUCUGUACGCCUUCUGCGAUCUGCAUUUGUUCUGUUGCUGUAUUGCUAACUCCAGUGUUGACCAACUUUGUGGCUGAGAAUUCGGACGCUCGGUCUAAUCUCGGACAACUUCUUCCAUUCGGGAAAAAGACUAACGUUAUCUGACCACCGGUUGGCUCGUUUGAGAGACUUGCCGGCAGGAUACUGGCUCACGUGACCUAUCUCGGAGACCUUCACUAAACCAGUCUGGUGUUAAUUCUGCGACCAUGGAAUGACAAGACUAAAUAUUCUAGUGAUUCGAUGAGUUUAUUCAAGUUGGUAGGAGCUUGUUAUGAACAGUUCGAUCAAAGUGUGGACAUUGUAUAAUGUACGGGAACUUGAGGCUAGACGGAUACUGUGUGGGUGCAGAAAGCUUGAAGAAGCGCGAGAUCAGGUCAUUUUGAGACUGAGAAAUACUAAGGUCGAAUUGUCACCAUUAGUCAGUCACCUGGAUUGCCUCAGUCCACACGGGAAAGACUGCAAAUAGCAACAGAGCCUUCUAGUUGAAUUAAUUGUAGUUUCAAUUACUAAUUUUGCUAUUGUACUAGCACUAUCUGAAAACUUUAUGUGGGCAUGCCAAUGAAUACAAUUUGUUGUUAGCAGUGGAAAUACAA